rnacentral:rRNA from 1 species
GAUGAACGCUGGCGGCGUGCUUAACACAUGCAAGUCGAACGGAAAGGCCCAAGCUUGCUUGGGUACUCGAGUGGCGAACGGGUGAGUAACACGUGGGUGAUCUGCCCUGCACUUCGGGAUAAGCCUGGGAAACUGGGUAUAAUAUCGGAUAGGACCACUUCUUGGAUGUUGUGGUGGAAAGUUUUUUCGGUGUGGGAUGAGCUCGCGGCCUAUCAGCUUGUUGGUGGGGUAAUGGCCUACCAAGGCGUCGACGGGUAGCCGGCCUGAGAGGGUGUACGGCCACAUUGGGACUGAGAUACGGCCCAGACUCCUACGGGAGGCAGCAGUGGGGAAUAUUGCACAAUGGGCGCAAGCCUGAUGCAGCGACGCCGCGUGGGGGAUGACGGCCUUCGGGUUGUAAACUCCUUUCGCUAGGGACGAAGCGUUUUGUGACGGUACCUGGAGAAGAAGCACCGGCUAACUACGUG